UCUUCGAUUAACUCACUAGUCAUGGAUAAUGAAGCCCAUUCUGAAAAUGAUCCCUUGUUAAACAUGCUACUCCAUCUUAAAAUGGCGACCAAGUACAAUCAAUCCCAUUCAGAUGGAUCAAAAAAAAUCGACCGAAUAGAUGAAAAAUCAUAUACAAUUAAAGAUGAGCCUUAUAACAAAAACGACAAUAGUCAAGAACAUGAUAUGGCAAACUUUGUCGUUUUGCAAUCUGACAUAAGCGAUUAACUAUUCUAUUUUUAAAACCUACACCUUAUCGAUACCGACAAUCUUAGCAUCAAAAUGAUAAAAUAUUUAAUUUGAAAAUUGAUUUAUUGAAAAGAAACAUUUGUAGUGCCUUUAAUUAUAUAUCUUUAAUUUUAUUUGAUAUAUUAUUUAAUAAAUAUUUUUAUAAUAUACAUUAUGGGAGUAACGAUGGGCAAAUUUAGGUGUAUGGGAGCCCGGGAGUAGUUGAUGCAUGCUCUUACCAAGGGUUGGAAAAUUUUCCACCUCAUCGGAAUCUGCUUGUUCUUGAAAAUAAAAAAAUCAAGAAAUUUUACUUAUACUGUUAUUGAAGUCGAUGUUGAGAAAGAGAUGGAAAAUAGAAG